ensembl:lncRNA
AAGCUAUGUAAAUUGGCCAAAUCAUGAGGACUUUCUAGUUCCAGUGUCAAGUCAGUGGCUCCAAAGACUACAAAUACCAACUGAAAACAGCAUUGCAGCAGCAAAGAUAAGUGACUCUAAUACUUUAAGAAAAAUAGGACAUAGAUAACUUUUUUGAAUGCCAAGGAAAAGAUCUUAAUGGUAGAACCAGAAAAAAAACCAUCUUGUCCUCUUUCACCAAUAAAUUUUGUUUUGAAAUAUUUAUCUUUUCCUGAACUGCACACUAAUGUACAAGCUUCAAAAUCACACUGGUGAUUAGAUAGGCAUUAUUUAGAUAUUUCAUAGUCAUUUUACCAUUUGAUUCUUGUGGAUGAUCUUUCAUGUUAACAGUAAAACAAUAUCUUAACUUUGUCUCUUUCAGUUACAUCAGUUUAGGUUUUGACCUAAUUUUAGUAUUGAACAGCUUCCAAAACUAAAAUUGCUGGGAGAAAUAAAGCUUUAUUUUUCAUUUCCCUCCCCCCCCCCCAAACUGUUUCUGCAUUUUUCUUCCUCCUCUGUACAUCCUACUCACCAAGAGCCCAGAACUAAUAAAAGACCUUAUUUUUUCAGUUGACUGCAUAAAUGUAAAUGGGAAUUUAUGAGAAACAGUGCUAAAGGCAUUAUAGUAUAUCAGCGCUUAAGAAAUUUCUGAGCCAUUAUUUACAUAGCAUCCUUGUUCUCCUAAAUGCAAAUGUAUAGAAUAUUUCAAUAUUUUUUUUUUUCAGGAUUUCACUGGCCAAAUUUGACCAAACAUGUCUGGUCUGUUGUGUUUUGCGAUGAUGUUCUAAUCUGAACCUGAAGUUUUCACACAGAAAAAUCAGAUGAGGACACAGAAGAAUUCACUGGGCCAUCAGUGCAGCCCAGUUGCAAUGUAUAGGGGUAGUGGUGCAGUGACUGGUUUCACCCUUCUCUGGAUACCAGCUGUGGUAUUGGCUUCAGGGAGCCAACACAAGCACUUGAACUGUCCCUGGUACUUCAGGUUCGGCCUGAACGCCUCCAUAGGAAGACUCUCAACCAGGUUUUUCAGACACGCCCACAGUCCACAGCCCCUUCUGUUUCAUGAGCACUCUGAAAAUCAAGACACAAGUUACUGACUAUAUUUUCCUUAUGAAACUGAGGUAUUCAGGAGUGACUUAAUGACUUAUAAAUUGACAAGCUGUCUCAAAACUUCUGAAUUUGUGACCACCCCAUCUGUUACUUAUCUGUUCCCCUCCCAAAUGACUCCUGACUAUAGAUCAGCUGGUAGAUGGAGCGUCUAUCAACAAGAAAGAUCUAUCAAAGAGGUAAAUUUUGGACAACAGAGAAAAUUUAAAUGUUGGAACCCUGGGUUUAGAUAAUUUAGGUUUCUGGGAAUCUCCAAGUAUACCCUUAGGUAAAGAAUUUGGAUUCUAGAAUAAGCACUACAUCAUUACCAGUCUUCUUCUGUUCCUUGGUUGUUUUUUUGUUUGUAAGUUGGGGAUUUGUUUUGGUUUUUUUUUUUUUUUUUUCGGUUAAUUGGAAAUUAUGUUCCAGGAGAAUGAGAUUAUCUUCUUCAAAGAUUUCUGGAGUCCUUGAAAGAAUAACCUUCCUCCAAUGCCUGUGAGAAGGGCACUUUAUAAACCUGUGCAAAACAGCAAAACAUUGUCCUUGCUCAAAUCUCUUGUAACAACUUUAAGAUGUAUUGAUGACUAAAGAAAACUGCCAGCAGGUCAAACUCCCAUCUUCUGUGAUUUGUGCGUGUCAUGUUGGCCAUGACUGUCUCACGCUUGUUCCCUAACCUGUCCAUAUUGAUCUGCUGUAUCUUACAUGUAGAUGUCAGUCUCUAUGGAACAGAAAUUAGGUUUUUAUACUAUGUUUUUGCUUAGGAUGUUUCUUGAAGAUCAAUAGGUACUAUGGUAAUAUGAGUUUUAGAAAUCCUGUUGCCAUUUUCUGUAGUUCUGCUGUGUAGCUAAUAUCCUGACAAAUUGAUCCCAUCAGAAAUGCUUUCAGGAUGAGAGAUCCGUUCAGUUAUAUUGCAUAUGAUCUUCCACAGUUAUCUUGUCUGCAUCUACUACAAUUUGUUUCAAUUAAACAAGGCAGUUUACUACCAAAACCCUGAGCAGCUCAGUUUAAUGCUGAGUUUAGCCCUGUCUCAGCUGAAGGAGGGACCAGGAAAUCUCAAGAGGACCUUUCCACUCCAAAUUAUGUAAUGGUCUACAUUUGUCUUUUUGCUUUUGAAAUAGUUUUUCAUUUUUAUUUCAGUAAACUUUAGUUAGUGCUUUGCUAUAUUUUUGUUUUCUGGGCAGAGAUGCUGUGCUGGUGGUUGGAUGGGUUUCUUCCCUGUUUUGUCUCUUUUCUGCUCAAGGGAGUGUCACAGUGGUUUGAUCUUCUGGUUUCAAGGAUAUAAGGCUCCCUAAUGCCAGAUACUCAGAUUCUUUCACGGCUGACUCAGCCCUUCACUCUUUUUAGCAAAAUAAACUGCAGUUUUUAUGUAUGAAUUUUGCAGCUGUCACAUUAAAACUCCAAUGCCUUAACUGUUGGGACACUACAACCUUUUUUUCUUUUCACUCUGUUCUACUGCAUGGCUUUUGAUAUACAGAAAGUUAAGUCAUAAUUUAGUUUCAGCACUGGUCAAGCAAUAUGUGCUUCUCAAAACAUGUAGGAAAAAAACCCCCUCUCUUGAAAGGAUAAAUUUGAUAGCAUGUUUUAGCAGGUGGGAUAUGUAAAAAAAGCUAGUAUAUUAUUGGAAACUUUAGAAGAAAGGUAAGAAGCAACAGUGACUGACCUUAAAAGAAUCAAUUUUUUAACAAUCAUUUAUCAGAUAAAACAUCAGAAAAGAUUAAAAUAAAGAUCUUUGAUUCUUCUGCAUAGGAUUUUUUAGACUCUUAAAGUCCAAGCUUAUUCUGCCCGUCAGGAGUACAGCUAAUGAAGGGCUUUCUGAGGACUUUU